rnacentral:rRNA from 1 species
UUCGGAGCGUAAACUCCUUUUGUUAGGGAAGAACAAUGACGGUACCUAACGAAUAAGCACCGGCUAACUCCGUGCCAGCAGCCGCGGUAAUACGGAGGGUGCAAGCGUUACUCGGAAUCACUGGGCGUAAAGGACGCGUAGGCGGAUUAUCAAGUCUUUUGUGAAAUCUAAUGGCUCAACCAUUAAACUGCUUGAGAAACUGAUAAUCUAGAGUGAGGGAGAGGCAGAUGGAAUUGGUGGUGUAGGGGUAAAAUCCGUAGAGAUCACCAGGAAUACCCAUUGCGAAGGCGAUCUGCUGGAACUUAACUGACGCUAAUGCGUGAAAGCGUGGGGAGCAAACAGGAUUAGAUACCCUGGUAGUCCACGCCCUAAACGAUGUAUACUAGUUGUUGCUGUGCUAGUCAUGGCAGUAAUGCACCUAACGGAUUAAGUAUACCGCCUGGGGAGUACGGUCGCAAGAUUAAAACUCAAAGGAAUAGACGGGGACCCGCACAAGCGGUGGAGCAUGUGGUUUAAUUCGAAGAUACGCGAAGAACCUUACCUGGGCUUGAUAUCCUAAGAACCUUGUAGAGAUACGAGGGUGCUAGCUUGCUAGAACUUAGUGACAGGUGCUGCACGGCUGUCGUCAGCUCGUGUCGUGAGAUGUUCGGUUAAGUCCGGCAACGAGCGCAACCCACGUAUUUAGUUGCUAACAGUUCGGCUGAGCACUCUAAAUAUACUGCCUUCGUAAGGAGGAGGAAGGUGUGGACGACGUCAAGUCAUCAUGGCCCUUAUGCCCAGGGCGACACA